GCUCAUGAGCUUCUAAAAUACAAAAUCUGCAAUGUUUACUUAUUAACUAUAGAUAAGUUUUUUCAAAGGCAUUGCUUUAUUCUUCUAAGAUAUAUGGUCUACUGCUUCAGACCAUCUAAAUGUAUGGAUCUCUCUCUCUCUCUCUCUCUCUCUCUCUCUCUCUCUCUCUCUCUCUCUCUCUCUCUCUCUCCCUCCCUCCUUCCCUCCCUCCCUUUUUUCCUCCCUCCUUCCCUCCCUCUCUCCCUUCCUUCCUUCCUUCCUUCCUUCCUUCCUUCCUUCCUUCCUUCCUUCCUUUUUUUUUUAGCUAUUUUAUUGGGUUCUUAUACUUACCACUCUUCCAGCCCCUUUUUCACCUUAAUUCCUUCCAAGAUCCCAACACUAGGUAGGAGAGAAAGAAGGUUAGAGAGGAAAGAGGGCAUAGACCUCUUUAGACUACAUCCUGUUUACUAGGGGAAUUGAGUUCCUUGAGGCAAGUCCUGUCUUCGUUGUAAAAAUAUCUCCAAACAGCAAUCCAGCAAACACAACAGAAAGAACCAGUAGCAGCCACCACAGACCCUCUCAGGACUCUUUGCUUUAUUGUCUCUCCAGAACCCUCAGAAUUAAACUAUCUGCAGUUUGAAAAAAAAAUUAGAGUUCUGCUACUGCUCAAGGCAAAUCCUAAUCACCUGCUGUGAGGCAGCCUCUUAUCUCACCCCUUGAAUUAAAACAAAAACAUAUUCACAUACCGUUUUUAAAUUAAGAAACCAAAAUUCUCACUGCAAUACUGAAACUAACAGAGACUCAAAUGAAUGGGGAUCCAAUCUGUGUUUUGGAAUCAGAAGAUUUAAU
rnacentral:lncRNA from 1 species